UAAUGAAUGUAGCAUGGUACUGUACACGGAAACUGAACUAUGGAUCGACAUGUCUGCCAUCUCUGAUUUUCCCUGAUUAGACGGCCUGGUUUAGAUCCACAUUC
rnacentral:snoRNA from 3 species